AAUGAACGUUGGCGGCGUGGAUUAGGCAUGCAAGUCGAGCGUGUACCCGCAAGGGGAAAGCGGCAAACGGGGUAGGAACGCGUAGGUCACGUACCCCUCGGCCGGGGAUAGCCACGGGAAACUGUGGGUAAUACCCGAUGACGCCGAGAGGCCAAAGGUGUGAUUCCGCCGGGGGAGCGGCCUGCGUAGUAUUAGCUAGUUGGUGAGGUAACGGCUCACCAAGGCGAAGAUGCUUAGGGGGUGUGAGAGCAUGACCCCCACCACUGGGACUGAGAUACUGCCCAGACACCUACGGGUGGCUGCAGUCGAGAAUCUUCGGCAAUGGGGGCAACCCUGACCGAGCGACGCCGCGUGUGGGAUGAAGGCCCUUGGGUUGUAAACCACUGUCAGAGGGGAUGAAACGAUCAUGGGUUCUCCCAUGGUCCUGUCAUAGCCUCAGAGGAAGCACGGGCUAAGUUCGUGCCAGCAGCCGCGGUAAUACGAACUGUGCAAACGUUAUUCGGAAUCACUGGG
rnacentral:rRNA from 1 species